CCCACACCAACAGAUCCUGAACCCCUCCCAGAACCUGAACCAACCACCAACCCAUCCUCAAUCCGAGGGAGUCUACUCGAUCUACCAGUAGAUGAUCGAAAACGACUCCUUCGGGUCAAGAAGUUAAGGACUAAGAUUACCCUUUUGACCACCGAAGAGCUUAGAGUGCCUCCUUCUUCAACCGAACUUCCCCCAAUAGUUCCAGUUGAGAUUCAAGUCUCUGAUGAUGAAGAAGAGGCUGAACCCGCUCCAACAUUAUCCCAAAAAAGAAAGCAUCCCUCUGAUAGUCACCCAAGUUCAGCGUCUGCUCCAUUACCACCCCGAGAACCCCUUCCAAUUCGAUCUUCAUCCCCCAAAAACGUAUACACCGAUCCAUCCCCACCUCGCGAUCAACCCAUGCCCUCUCCUCCAGGACAUACAUCCCACGAGUUUCAGAAUAAGGCUAUGGCGUCGCCGACUCUAUGGCCUCGAUUUAAUGUCAACUUCCCCUUUUAAUUGUUUAACUCAUUCGUUCGAAAAACUGACGACCACUGGUUCGGCAACAGCUCGAUCGGGGAUCUACUAGAUGAAGGCAUGAGUUACCUAGCACAGGUAAAGGACUUUCUCCAUCUUCAUACUUCUUUUCAUGCUUGGAUUAGAUAUCUUGAAUUUGAUUGGUUAAUACUGAAUGUAUACAGGCCAAUGCUGUUUUUGGGCGAUUACGCCCAAAACAUCUCGAAGCCGAAGCUGCAGAGGAGGCGACCAGAAAAGAGAAUACGAU
rnacentral:lncRNA from 1 species